GACGAACGCUGGCGGCGUGCUUAACACAUGCAAGUCGUGCGGUAAGGCCCUUUCGGGGGUUCGCGUGUGGCGAACGGGUGAGUAACACGUGAAUAACCCUCCCACAACGUGGGGAUAACGCUAGGAAACUGGUGCUUAAACUCGCUAUCUGCUCGUGCGGCAUGGUGGGGGUUGGUCAGCCCCGGCGCUUGUGGAUGGACUCGCGGCGUAUCAGCUUGUUGGUGGGGUAGUGGCCUACCAAGGCGGCGACGGGUAGCCGGCCUGAGAGGGUGACCGGCCACAUUGGGACUGAGAUACGGCCCAGACUCCUACGGGAGGCAGCAGUGGGGAAUAUUGCACAAUGGGCGCAAGCCUGAUGCAGCAACGCCGCGUGCGGGAUGACGGCCUUCGGGUUGUAAACCGCUUUCAGCAGGGACGAAGCUUUUUGUGACGGUACCUGCAGAAGAAGCACCGGCUAACUACGUG
rnacentral:rRNA from 1 species